AGCGAACGCUGGCGGCAGGCCUAACACAUGCAAGUCGAACGAACUCUUCGGAGUUAGUGGCGGACGGGUGAGUAACACGUGGGAACGUGCCUUUAGGUUCGGAAUAACUCAGGGAAACUUGUGCUAAUACCGAAUGUGCCCUUCGGGGGAAAGAUUUAUCGACUUUGGAGCGGCCCGCGUCUGAUUAGCUAGUUGGUGAGGUAAAGGCUCACCAAGGCGACGAUCAGUAGCUGGUCUGAGAGGAUGAUCAGCCACAUUGGGACUGAGACACGGCCCAAACUCCUACGGGAGGCAGCAGUGGGGAAUCUUGCGCAAUGGGCGAAAGCCUGACGCAGCCAUGCCGCGUGAAUGAUGAAGGUCUUAGGAUUGUAAAAUUCUUUCACCGGGGACGAUAAUGACGGUACCCGGAGAAGAAGCCCCGGCUAACUUCGUG
rnacentral:rRNA from 1 species